rnacentral:lncRNA from 1 species
GGCGCGGGGACGCCGGGGGGCGGGCGGAGGCGGCAGCGCGGCACGGCCACCGCCGGGCGCCUCGCCCUCCGCGCGCUUGGACUCGGCCCGGGAAAGUUCCCGCAGGACGGGGCGCGGGCUGCGCGCACGUGGGCGCCGCUGCAGGGACGCCCCGCGGGCGUCGGCGCCCAGGUGCCGCACCUGCCUGCCCGGGGCGCGCCCGCCGACGCGCGUCUCCGCCCUUGCCAGCCGCCGGAGCCCGGGCGUCCGGAAACCGCUUCCUUCUGUCCCGCCCCAGGACGCAGGCCGUCUUGCCACCCAAAACUUUUCUUUCUGGAAGGAAGGAAGUUGCAUUCAAGUGCUGUCACCUUAAGAUUACUUCAUCAGUGAGUAUAACAAAUAACUGGAUUCACUUCUUCUGGAUUCUCACUAUUGAUAUGCCUCUGGAAUUUCUGCGUGUUUUGGACAAAUCAAUGUUUCAGGUGGCGUUUGUCCAAAGUUGUCUGAAAAUAAAUACAGCAAUACGAGUUGGAUUUUCAUUCACUUCUUUUCAUUCGGAAAGAGCCUUGCCGCAUGUCCCCACGGUGGAUCCUCGUAACGUUCCCUCCAGAAGAGUAUGCGCCACAGGAAUGAUUUAUUUCUACAGUUAAAAAGUACUCAUUACUAAAACUGCAGCUGCCUUGAAGUCUUUCCAGCAUCCUUGCUCUAUAUGCACACUGGUGUUGGCUUCCUCCGCUUGUGCAGUUGAAGGACCAUUGCUCCCUUGUGACAUGUGUCCUUGUUGGUGGGUGAUGACCUUUUGGUCACCAUGAAUACCUUCGUCUUUUCUGAAAUGAGAAAAAUGACGAUAAGAAUCCUUCCUAAGACCUUAGAGCAAGUGGAUUUGGGGCCAAGUGACACCCAGUGCUGAGGCCAGCGCUCACACUUUCUCCACCAGGCCGUUCUCCCCCAGAGUGAGCCCAGAGAUCUUUCAACCCUGCUUUAUAAGCCAGGCUCGUACGUUUAGCCAACUAAUUCUUGGUGGAUGAAACAGUGCUCAGUUCACAUGGGAGAAAUUAGCAAACCACUUGCCAAAAGGGCAAAUUCAAGAGAAAAUAAUAGUGCUAACGGGGACGUGCUUCUUGAGAUUAGUUCAGAAGUGCUCUGAGACGCCCUCCACAUUCCUUCGUUCAUCUCACUCCCCUGGGAUGUGCCCAGCGCCCCUAACCUUGGCUUCCGUGGCCUCCUCAGUGGCCCCCACAGCGGGAAAUGUUAUGGAAGAGGGCCGAGCGUGAGCACAGCCAGCUGGCAGCAGGAAACUCCAGGCACAGUGUGCGUCCCCUGUGAGCUUCCAUUGCAGUUGUUCUUUGGCACAGACAAGUCAAAAGCUCAGCUGGCUGUCUGCUUCUUGAGGGAUGACAGCUCUGCAAUGUUCCAAAUGUCCAAACACAACCAACCAGACUAGUCUUCGCGGACUUUGAGCAAGCUUAGUGAGUGAAAAAUGUAAGCCGUGCUUGGGUCAUAGGUUGCUGAGAAAUAAAAUCACUAGAAUCGGCCAGAACAAUCUUCUUUUUCUAUGGCUUUGGGUCUCCCUUGGGCCCAAGGGCUGAGGGACAAGGCCCUCAGCGCAGCCGUGUUGUCUUACAACCAUGCUCAGAAGGGCUCUGCGGCUCUGGGCUCAGAGAUGAAGUCAGGGCGGUCACCUGGCAUCUGAGACGCUUCAGGUUCGGGCUACAUCUCUUCCAGCCUCGUACCUCACACAUGCCAGUCUGCGCUUCAGACGCUGCUCAGCUGGCACAGCCACUCCAUUGUCUGACGGGACGUGCAUCCUGAUUGGUUGGCGUUCAUGCUUUGAUGGGCCUUAAGUCUUCCAAAUGUCAGCCCUUUUCCCACAUAUGCUUCAUACUUUUAAAAACGAAACCCUACUUAUUUCUUCUACUAGCCUGUAUGCUUCUUAAGAUCAUGAUUCUUUCUUAUUCCAUUUUGUAUUUGCCAUAAUGGCCAGCACUUUCUGGGCCCAUAGUAAAUACUAACUAAAUGUGUGGUAUGAAUCAAAGACUGAUAAGUACUGGGAGAAUAUACCUCUGUGCUUCUUAUCUUUCCCUGAGAAGGGAAAACAGUCAUGGGCGGACUAGCCUGAGAAGGAAUCAUGUGUAUAUG